UACAGAGGGUGCAAGCGUUGUUCGGAAUUAUUGGGCGUAAAGGGCGCGUAGGCGGUGCCACAAGUCACCUGUGAAAUCUCCGGGCUUAACUCGGAGCCUGCAGGCGAAACUGUGGUGCUGGAGUGUGGGAGAGGUGCGUGGAAUUCCCGGUGUAGCGGUGAAAUGCGUAGAUAUCAGGAGGAACACCGGUGGUGUAAACGGCUCUCGUGGACCGUAACUGGACGCUGAGACACGAAAGCCGUGGGUAGCAAACAGG
rnacentral:rRNA from 1 species